CCUUCAUGAAGCUGGAAUUGCUAGUAAUGGCAGGUCGGCAUACUGCCGUGAAUACGUUCCCGGGCCUUGUACACACCGCCCGUCACACCAUGGGAGUCGGGAAUGCCCGAAGUCAGUGACCCAACCGCAAGGAGGGAGCUGCCGAAGGCAGGCUCGAUAACUGGGGUGAAGUCGUAACAAGGUACC
rnacentral:rRNA from 1 species